AGUGAACGCUGGCGGUAGGCCUAACACAUGCAAGUCGAACGGCAGCACAGUAAGAGCUUGCUCUUACGGGUGGCGAGUGGCGGACGGGUGAGGAAUACAUCGGAAUCUACUUUUUCGUGGGGGAUAACGUAGGGAAACUUACGCUAAUACCGCAUACGACCUACGGGUGAAAGCAGGGGAUCUUCGGACCUUGCGCGAUCGAAUGAGCCGAUGUCGGAUUAGCUAGUUGGCGGGGUAAAGGCCCACCAAGGCGACGAUCCGUAGCUGGUCUGAGAGGAUGAGCAGGCAGACGGGGAAUGAGAUAGGGGCCAGACUACUAAGGGAGGCAGCAGAGGGGAAUAGUGGAAAAGGGGCGAAAGGCUGAUCGAGACAUGGGGAGUGAGUGAAGAAGGUAUUCGGAUUGUAAAGCACUUUAAGUGGGGAGGAAGGGCAGUAAGUUAAUAACUUGCUGGUGGGACGGUACAAAAAGAAUAAGAACCGGCGAACUUAGUG
rnacentral:rRNA from 1 species